rnacentral:rRNA from 1 species
AUUGAACGCUGGCGGCAGGCCUAACACAUGCAAGUCGAGCGGAGCGGCGGACGGGUGAGUAAUGCAUAGGAGUCUGCCUGGUAGUGGGGGAUAACGUACGGAAACGGGCGCUAAUAACGCACACUAUCAGAUGAGCCUAGGUCUGAUUAGCUAGUUGGUGGGGUAAAGGCUUACCAAGGCGACGAUCCGUAACUGGUCUGAGUGGAUGAUCAGUCACACUGGAACUGAGACACGGUCCAGCCUCGUACGGGAGGCAGCAGUGGGGAAUAUUGGACAAUGGGCGAAAGCCUGAGCCAGCCAUGCCGCGUGUGUGAAGAAGGCCUUCGGGUUGUAAAGCACUUUAAGUUGGGAGGCGUUACCAACAGAAGAAGCACCGGCUAACUCCGUGCCAGCAGCCGCGGUAAUAC